AUCUGGUUGCUUGGGGAGGACUGAUGGAAGAGGGCCACAACUACUUUGAGAGGAGCAAUCUGGACAUCUUCAGCGGCAGGGCGCCUUGCCUGACCUCCCCGUUCUGCGCCUUGAACUUGACCUCUGAUGGAUCAGGGGCCCACCACGGCUGGUACUGCAACUACGUGGAGGCUACCUCCACCGGCGUCCACAGCUCCUGCUCCCAGCAGCUAUUUACCGUCGAGCAGUGGCUCGCUACAGAUACCUCGCCCUACGAGCUUUCAGCGAUCCGUAAUUCAUGUCCAUACGAUUUGGUUACCAAGGAGACUCGUCCGGUGACAGCCGCCGGCCGCAAGUCAGUGGCCUCCUCCUC
rnacentral:lncRNA from 1 species